GUAACAGGUCUUCGGACGCUGACGAGUGGCGAACGGGUGCGUUAUACAUCGGAACGUGCCCAGUCGUGGGGGAUAACUACUCGAAAGAGUAGCUAAUACCGCAUACGAUCUGAGGAUGAAAGCGGGGGACCUUCGGGCCUCGCGCGAUUGGAGCGGCCGAUGGCAGAUUAGGUAGUUGGUGGGAUAAAAGCUUACCAAGCCGACGAUCUGUAGCUGGUCUGAGAGGACGACCAGCCACACUGGGACUGAGACACGGCCCAGACUCCUACGGGAGGCAGCAGUGGGGAAUUUUGGACAAUGGGCGAAAGCCUGAUCCAGCAAUGCCGCGUGCAGGAUGAAGGCCUUCGGGUUGUAAACUGCUUUUGUACGGAACGAAAAAGCUUCUCCUAAUACGAGAGGCCCAUGACGGUACCGUAAGAAUAAGCACCGGCUAACUACGUGCCAGCAGCCGCGGUAAUACGUAGGGUGCGAGCGUUAAUCGGAAUUACUGGGCGUAAAGCGUGCGCAGGCGGUUAUGUAAGACAGAUGUGAAAUCCCCGGGCUCAACCUGGGAACUGCAUUUGUGACUGCAUGGCCAGAGUACGGUAGAGGGGGAUGGAAUUCCGCGUGUAGCAGUGAAAUGCGUAGAUAUGCGGAGGAACACCGAUGGCGAAGGCAAUCCCCUGGACCUGUACUGACGCUCAUGUACGAAAGCGUGGGG
rnacentral:rRNA from 1 species